AUUGAACGCUAGCGGGAUGCUUUACACAUGCAAGUCGAACGAGGGGCGGAGGGGUGUGUAAUAUAGCGGAACGAGUCCAGAAGCGGGGGAUAUACACGCGAAAGAGGGGCUAAUACCGCAACCUAUUGGGGCGGCAGAUAUCGGAUUAUCUAGUGGGUGGGGUAAAGGCUCACCAAGGCAACGAUCCGUCGCUGGUUUGAGAGGAUGACCAGACACACUGGAACUGAGACACGGCCCAGACUCCUACGGGAGGCAGCAGUGGGGAAUAUUGGACAAUGGGGGAAACCCUGAUGCAGCCAUCCCGCGUGUAUGAGAAGGCCUUCGGGUUGUAAAGCACUUUUGGCAGAGAGGCGGUAUCUGCAGAAUAAGCACCGGCUAACUACGUGCCAGCAGCCGCGGUAAUAC
rnacentral:rRNA from 1 species